AAAUUAACAAUUAUUAUGAAAAACGAUGUUUAACACUAAAUAGAUUUUAUUUAGAGAAGAACUCGUUUGUCAGGCAUUAAUCAAUUUUAAUAUAAAUUUUAUUUUCAAAAACAUGUGUGAAGGAAAACAUUACCACUAACGUGUAAUUUACAUUGUUAUGCAUCUAACGCAACUUGAACGGAUUAAAACGGAGCUAAAACGUAGAAUCUAUGGGUUAAACAACGUUGCAGGGG
rnacentral:lncRNA from 1 species